GUGAAGGUGACUCGUAAGGGUUGCUGGAGGUAUCAGAAGUGCGAAUGCUGACAUGAGUAACGAUAAAGCGGGUGAAAAGCCCGCUCGCCGGAAGUCCAAGGGUUCCUGCGCAACGCUAAUCGGCGCAGGGUUAGUCGGCCCCUAAGGUGAGGCUGAAGAGCGUAAUCGAUGGGAAACGGGUUAACAUUCCCGUACUUGUUGUAACUGCGAUGGAGAGACGGAGAAGGCUAGGCCAGCGCGGCGAUGGUUGUCCGCGUUUA
rnacentral:rRNA from 1 species